rnacentral:rRNA from 1 species
GGAGCAGCCCAGAGCCUGAAUCAGUGUGUGUGUUAGUGGAAGCGUCUGGAAAGGCGUGCGAUACAGGGUGACAGCCCCGUACACAAAAAUGCACAUACUGUGAGCUCGAUGAGUAGGGCGGGACACGUGGUAUCCUGUCUGAAUAUGGGGGGACCAUCCUCCAAGGCUAAAUACUCCUGACUGACCGAUAGUGAACCAGUACCGUGAGGGAAAGGCGAAAAGAACCCCGGCGAGGGGAGUGAAAAAGAACCUGAAACCGUGUACGUACAAGCAGUGGGAGCACGCUUAGGCGUGUGACUGCGUACCUUUUGUAUAAUGGGUCAGCGACUUAUAUUCUGUAGCAAGGUUAACCGAAUAGGGGAGCCGAAGGGAAACCGAGUCUUAACUGGGCGUUAAGUUGCAGGGUAUAGACCCGAAACCCGGUGAUCUAGCC